rnacentral:rRNA from 1 species
CUACGGGCGGCAGCAGUGAGGAAUUUUGCGCAAUGGGGGAAACCCUGACGCAGCAACGCCGCGUGAGCGAAGAAGGCCUUCGGGUCGUAAAGCUCUGUCAAGUGGGAAAAAAAUUCUUUGAUGAACAGUCAAAGGACUUGAUGGUACCACUGGAGGAAGCACCGGCUAACUCCGUGCCAGCAGCCGCGGUAAUACGGAGGGUGCAAGCGGUGUUCGGAAUUACUGGGCGUAAAGAGCGGGUAGGCGGUUUGACAAGUCAGAUGUGAAAGCCCCGGGCUCAACCCGGGAAGUGCAUUUGAAACUGUUUCACUAGAGGAUGGGAGAGGAGAUUGGAAUUCCUGGUGUAGAGGUGAAAUUCGUAGAUAUCAGGAGGAACACCCGUGGCGAAGGCGAUUCUCUGGACCAAUACUGACGCUGAGACGCGAAAGCGUGGGGAGCAAACAGGAUUAGAUACCCUCGUAGUC